UACAGAGGUCUCGAGCGUUAGGCGGAAUCACUGGGCUUAAAGCGUGUGUAGGCGGGUCGUUAAGUGCCUUGUGAAAUCCCAUGGCUCAACCCAUGGAACUGCUGGGCAUACUGGCGAUCUUGUGCCACCUAGGGGCGAGCGGAACAGAUGGUGGAGCGGUGAAAUGCGUAGAUAUCAUCUGGAACGCCAAUGGUGAAAACAGCUCGCUGGGGGUGUGCAGACGCUGAGACACGAAAGCCAGGGGAGCGAACGGG
rnacentral:rRNA from 1 species